rnacentral:rRNA from 1 species
GACGAACGCUGGCGGCGUUCCUAAUACAUGCAAGUCGACCUUAGUGGCGAACGGGUGAGUAACACGUGGGUAACCUGCCCAUCAGAAGGGGAUAACCCUUGGAAACCGGUGCUAAUACCGUAUACUGAUGGAUGGACCCGCUGUGCAGUAGCGAGUUGGUGAGGUAACGGCUCACCAAGGCCACGAUGCAUAGCCGGCCUGAGAGGGGGGUCGGCCACAUUGGGACUAAGAAACGGCCCAAAAUCCGACGGGAGGCAGCAGUAGGGAAUCUUCAGCAAUGGACGAAAGUCUGACCGAGAAACGCCGCGUGAGUGAAGAAGGUUUUCGGAUCGUAAAGCUCUGGUGUUAGAGAAGCGGUAUCUAACCAGAAAGCCACGGCUAACUACGUGCCAGCAGCCGCGGUAAUAC